AACGCGAAGAACCUUACCUACGUUGAACUACGCAGGAAAAGCCGUGGAGACACGGUGUCCGAAAGGGCCUGCGAUAGGUGGUGCAUGGCUGUCGUCAGCUCGUGUCGUGAGAUGUUGGGUUAAGUCCCGCAACGAGCGCAACCCUUGUCCUAUGUUGCCAGCGGGUAAUGCCGGGGACUCGUAGGAGACUGCCGGGGUCAACUCGGAGGAAGGUGGGGAUGACGUCAAGUCUGCAUGCCCCUUACGCGUAGGGCUGCUAACAUGCUACAAUGGCCGGUACAAAGGGCUGCUAAUCCGCGAGGAGGAGCGAAUCCCAAAAAGCCGGUCUCAGUUCGGAUUGGAGUCUGCAACUCGACUCCAUGAAGUCGGAGUCGCUAGUAAUCCCGGAUCAGCUACGCCGGGGUGAAUACGUUCCCGGGCCUUGUA
rnacentral:rRNA from 1 species